rnacentral:tRNA from 1 species
GCCUGGGUGGCUCAGUUGGUUGAGCAUCUGACUCUGGUUCAGGUCAUAAUUUCAAGGUUCUUGAGUUUGAGCCCCAGGCA